GGUCCCAGGAUGUUAGCGGCGGACGGGUGAGUAACACGUGGGUAACCUGCCUGUAAGACUGGGAUAACUCCGGGAAACCGGAGCUAAUACCGGAUAGUUCCUUGAACCGCAUGGUUCAAGGAUGAAAGACGGUUUCGGCUGUCACUUACAGAUGGACCCGCGGCGCAUUAGCUAGUUGGUGGGGUAAUGGCUCACCAAGGCGACGAUGCGUAGCCGACCUGAGAGGGUGAUCGGCCACACUGGGACUGAGACACGGCCCAGACUCCUACGGGAGGCAGCAGUAGGGAAUCUUCCGCAAUGGACGAAAGUCUGACGGAGCAACGCCGCGUGAGUGAUGAAGGUUUUCGGAUCGUAAAGCUCUGUUGUUAGGGAAGAACAAGUGCGAGAGUAACUGCUCGCACCUUGACGGUACCUAACCAGAAAGCCACGGCUAACUACGUGCCAGCAGCCGCGGUAAUACGUAGGUGGCAAGCGUUGUCCGGAAUUAUUGGGCGUAAAGGGCUCGCAGGCGGUUUCUUAAGUCUGAUGUGAAAGCCCCCGGCUCAACCGGGGAGGGUCAUUGGAAACUGGGAAACUUGAGUGCAGAAGAGGAGAGUGGAAUUCCACGUGUAGCGGUGAAAUGCGUAGAGAUGUGGAGGAACACCAGUGGCGAAGGCGACUCUCUGGUCUGUAACUGACGCUGAGGAGCGAAAGCGUGGGGAGCGAACAGGAUUAGAUACCCUGGUAGUCCACGCCGUAAACGAUGAGUGCUAAGUGUUAGGGGGUUUCCGCCCCUUAGUGCUGCAGCUAACGCAUUAAGCACUCCGCCUGGGGAGUACGGUCGCAAGACUGAAACUCAAAGGAAUUGACGGGGGCCCGCACAAGCGGUGGAGCAUGUGGUUUAAUUCGAAGCAACGCGAAGAACCUUACCAGGUCUUGACAUCCUCUGACAACCCUAGAGAUAGGGCUUUCCCUUCGGGGACAGAGUGACAGGUGGUGCAUGGUUGUCGUCACCUCGGGUCGUGAGAUGUUGGGUUAGUCCCGCAACGACGCAACCCUUGAUCUUAGUUGCCAGCAUUCAUUUGGGCAUCUAAGUGACUGCCGGUGACAACCGGAGGAAG
rnacentral:rRNA from 1 species